rnacentral:lncRNA from 13 species
AGAAAGUCUAAGAAAACUUACAUGUGGCAUGCAUUAAUGGAUGUCCUGGGUACAGCAGCACAUUAUCCCGGUGUCUGUGAGUGUGUGGCACUUGUGGGGUCUCUGCAAAAGUCAGCACUGCUACCCUGCAUCUGGAGGCUCUUAACAAAGUGUUCCCUACAGAGGCAGUAACACAAGCCCUUCUGCAGCCUGCUCUCCACCCCCCACUUGGCAGAGAUAUCAUUUUCACAUUCAAAAGGAAGAAAGCAACUUUGAACCUUGUCUCUCUCACUCCAGCUGUGACACGAGGAUCGAGCUCUUCCCAGCUACCAGAAACUCGAACAUAAAGGCAGCAGAUGUGAAGAAAAAUGCAGUCCUUCAAAACACAAGCCACAUCCCCAGCUGAAACAGAAAGCAAGUCCCCAACUCUCCAGUGACGUAAGAUGAUCUCCCCUGUGUACGAAGAUUUUGGACAAAAAUUCAAGCAAACAAAAGUACAAAUAUUUGCCAUUUGCUUCUACAUUAUGGUGACAACAACGAUAUAACCCACAAAGGAAGGCAGAAGGGAGAAAAAUCACUGGAAAGAAGAAGAAGAAAGAAGUUUUCAGGGAAGUGGCAGAAACAUUUAUCAACUCAGUGACACACAAACCCUUGCUGGAUGACUUUGCAGCAGCAGUUGGACACUGUGCUAAGCAGACAUUGCCUGGUAUUCAUCCACUGUGGGGACUUGCAAAGCAUGACUGAAAAAGAUCACUUGGAAUGUCUGAAUGUAUUUGGAAAAACCUGAGCAGUAUAUCAGUUCAGUCUGAAGUAGAAAUACAGAAGCAUAAACCCGUGAAAAUAUCAUGGGGGAAUGAAAGGAAGAGAAGCAGAAACGUGUGUGCAAUUUCACUGAUUGCUUCCUCUGGGAAUAAAGAAGUUCAGGAGAAUCCAGGAAUUUGGGAAUUGUUAUGGUGGUAAAUUGCUGUAUCAUCUGAGGAUCAUUAGAUUUCACUGCUGCAAAGGUGUGACACCUCAGCUCUGCCCUCACAGCAAACUUCAAUCUAAGGAUUCGUCUGUUAGUUUUCACCCUGACAUCCUCUG